rnacentral:rRNA from 1 species
AUUGAACGCUGGCGGCACGCCUAACACAUGCAAGUCGAGCGGCAGCGAGACUAGUAGCAAUACUAGUUGUCGGCGAGCGGCGGACGGGUGAGUAACACGUGGGAAUCUGCCCUUAAGCGGGGGAUAACCAAGGGAAACUUUGGCUAAUACCGCAUAAUCUCGAGAGAGCAAAGCUGCCCGCAAGGGUGGCACUUGAGGAGGAGCCUGCGUCCGAGUAGCUAGUUGGUGGGGUAAUAGCCUACCAAGGCGAUGAUCGGUAACUGGUCUGAGAGGGAGACCAGUCACCCUGGGACUGAGACACGGCCCAGACUCCUACGGGAGGCAGCAGUGGGGAAUAUUGGACAAUGGGGGCAACCCUGAUCCAGCGAUGCCGCGUGAGUGAAGAAGGCCUUCGGGUCGUAAAGCUCUUUAGGUUGGGAAGAAGGGUAUUGGCUGAAUAAUCCAGUACUUUGACGGUACCGACAGAAUAAGCACCGGCAAACUCUGUGCCAGCCGCCGCAGUAACAC